rnacentral:antisense_RNA from 1 species
UGUGGGAGCGAGCUUGCUCGCGAAGGCGUCCUGUCAGAUGACAUUUGUUUCACUGACCCGACGCUUUCGCGAGCAAGCUCGCUCCCACA